GCUAGGCUGCUUCCAGUCAAUACUGGGGAGCUCCUUGGUUCGGUAGGGGUGGCGUGCGGAGUUGGUUUCCAGCGUCCUGUCUCGCUGGUCGUCGGCCGCGCCGUAGGCGGAGUCGGAGCUGCUUGUCUUGCAAGCUCAGCAACGAUGACCCUCAACAGACGUCCCGGCAACGCGGCGAGGGUUUGGAGGUGGAGCAUUUUGAGAGAGCCUCGGCAUGAAAACCUUGCCUAG
rnacentral:lncRNA from 3 species